rnacentral:rRNA from 2 species
GCAUAUCAAUAAGCGGAGGAAAAGAAACCAACAGGGAUUGCCUUAGUAACGGCGAGUGAAGCGGCAAAAGCUCAAAUUUGAAAUCUGGCACCUUCGGUGUCCGAGUUGUAAUUUGAAGAAGGUAACUUUGGAGUUGGCUCUUGUCUAUGUUCCUUGGAACAGGACGUCACAGAGGGUGAGAAUCCCGUGCGAUGAGAUGCCCAAUUCUAUGUAAAGUGCUUUCGAAGAGUCGAGUUGUUUGGGAAUGCAGCUCUAAGUGGGUGGUAAAUUCCAUCUAAAGCUAAAUAUUGGCGAGAGACCGAUAGCGAACAAGUACAGUGAUGGAAAGAUGAAAAGAACUUUGAAAAGAGAGUGAAAAAGUACGUGAAAUUGUUGAAAGGGAAGGGCUUGAGAUCAGACUUGGUAUUUUGCGAUCCUUUCCUUCUUGGUUGGGUUCCUCGCAGCUUACUGGGCCAGCAUCGGUUUGGAUGGUAGGAUAAUGACUAAGGAAUGUGGCUCUACUUCGGUGGAGUGUUAUAGCCUUGGUUGAUACUGCCUGUCUAGACCGAGGACUGCGUCUUUGACUAGGAUGCUGGCAUAAUGAUCUUAAGCCACCCGUCUUGAAACACGGACC